AGAGACAGAGUCUCACUCGGUCACCAGGCUGGAGUGCAGUGGCACAAUUAUAACUCACUAUAGCCUUGGACUCCUGGACUCAAGCCGUCCUCCUGCCUCAGCCUCCCAAGUAGCUAGGAGGUGUGUACCACCACACACAAUGGAGGAACAUUGGGAGGCUCUUUAUUUUCUGCGUGCUAAGUAGUAGGAAUAUAAAUCUGCACUCAGACUGAGCUGUGCAAAGGCAUUCAUAAUUGCAGGCAGUUGCAUCAGAGCUCAGAGUUCCAUCUCUAAAAAAAACAUUGUCUUAUGCCCCAACCUUCUCCCUGGGUUAGUUUUUAAUCCUGUCCUUCCUUUUUAAAACUUCUCUAGGUACAACUUGUAUUCUGUACUAUGUCAUACACACCUUAAGUUUUAAAUACAUAUAAUUUUCUUAAGCACAGAAUAAUUUUUCAAAGGGGUAUGUCUACUCUUGACUUUGGAAAGAUACCAUAAACUUUGUAUUUACUGUCAGUGUCUUAUUGUGUGAUAUUCUCAAAUCAACACUUAAGGUUAGCAGGCUAAUUUUAUAAAU
rnacentral:lncRNA from 10 species